GAUGAAGAACGUAGCGAAAUGCGAUAAGUAAUGUGAAUUGCAGAAUUCAGUGAAUCAUCGAAUCUUUGAACGCACAUUGCGCCCCCUGGUAUUCCGGGGGGCAUGCCUGUUCGAGCGUCAUUUCACCACUCAAGCCUCGCUUGGUAUUGGGCAACGCGGUCCGCCGCGUGCCUCAAAUCGUCCGGCUGGGUCUUCUGUCCCCUAAGCGUUGUGGAAACUAUUCGCUAAAGGGUGUUCGGGAGGCUACGCCGUAAAACAACCCCAUUUCUAAGGUUGACCUCGGAUCAGGUAGGGAUACCCGCUGAACUUAAGCAUAUCAAUAAGCGGAG
rnacentral:misc_RNA from 1 species